GCCUGUGGUCUCUGCACUGAACAAGCAUUGCUCAGCUCAAUUAACCCACCCCAAACUUGGCGCCUUACAAAAAUAAUCAAAUUUAAUGGUGUAAUUGUGCAGCAAGGCACCAUUUUACCCUGCUUUAAACCUAUGCAAUAGACUCAAACCUGAACAAAGCACUGAUGACCCUCUACAAAGCAGGAAUGGUUCAGGCGGGGUAAAAUACUCCGAACAACACAACCAUAGCCAUUUACUCACUAGCCUGUCUACCUGCAUUCAUUUUAAAGCAAUAACUCAUGGAUGAGCAACACCACUCAUUGGCAACCACUCACACUGAUGGCUCCACUUAUGUGGUGACCAAAACAGCAGCACCUCCC